rnacentral:misc_RNA from 1 species
AUGCAAGCUUCGUCUGUUAAAUGAUCUUGAUCCUGUCCACUCAUUGCUCUUUGUGAAAUCGAUGCCAACAAUGAGAUUGGAAGACUCAAGGCCAGCACGAGCAAGAGCCUCGGUUUGAAAUCAUCAGCAAUUCUUGAAUACUUCCUAUCAAGCUGCCUUUUAUCAUUGCUAUAGUUCUGAGAGGAGGAAUAACGGUGCUGUGACUCAUAAGAUUGCUGAGGUGCGCAGUUGUAGCUAUAACUUUCUUGACCAUAAGAUUGCUGGGCCGCGUAGCUGUAGCCGUUACUUUCUUGACCAUACGAGGAAUGAGAAUAGCCAUGAUGUGAACCACCCCAUGAAGACGAAUUUGAACGUAAAGAAGAGUUCGACCUCCAACUUCCCUCCCUUGAAUUUUU